rnacentral:rRNA from 1 species
AACGAACGCUGGCGGCAUGCCUAACACAUGCAAGUCGAACGAGACCUUCGGGUCUAGUGGCGCACGGGUGCGUAACGCGUGGGAAUCUGCCCUCUGGUACGGAAUAACUCAGGGAAACUUGAGCUAAUACCGUAUAAUGACUUCGGUCCAAAGAUUUAUCGCCUGAGGAUGAGCCCGCGUAGGAUUAGCUUGUUGGUGAGGUAAAAGCUCACCAAGGCGACGAUCCUUAGCUGGUCUGAGAGGAUGAUCAGCCACACUGGGACUGAGACAAGGCCCCGACCCCUACGGGGGGCAGGAGUGGGGAAUAUUGGGCAAGGGGCGAAAGGCUGAUCCAGCAAUGCCGCGUGAGUGAUGAAGGCCUUAGGGUUGUAAAGCUCUUUUACCCGGGAUGAUAAUGACAGUACCGGGAGAAUAAGCCCCGGCUAACUCCGUGCCAGCCGCCGCCGUAACAC